AAUGAACGCUGGCGGCGCGCCUAAUACAUGCAAGUCGAGCGAGAAGACGUAGCAAUACGUUUGUAAAGCGGCGAACGGGUGAGGAAUACAUGGGUAACCUACCCUCGAGUGGGGAAUAACUAGCCGAAAGGUUAGCUAAUACCGCGUACGCUUCUUGGACUUCGGUUCAGGGAGGAAAGCGAUACCGUGGGUAUCGCGCUCUUGGAUGGGCUCAUGUCCUAUCAGCUUGUUGGUGAGGUAACGGCUCACCAAGGCUUCGACGGGUAGCUGGUCUGAGAGGACGAUCAGCCACACUGGCACUGCGACACGGGCCAGACUCCUACGGGAGGCAGCAGUAAGGAAUAUUGCGCAAUGGGCGAAAGUCUGACGCAGCGACGCCGCGUGGGGGAUGAAGGUCUUCGGAUUGUAAACCCC
rnacentral:rRNA from 1 species